GAUGAACGCUGGCGGCGUGCUUAACACAUGCAAGUCGAACGGAAAGGCUCCUGCUUGCAGGUGUUCUCGAGUGGCGAACGGGUGAGUAACACGUGGGUGAUCUGCCCUGCACUUCGGUAUAAGCCUGGGAAACUGGGUCUAAUAUCGGAUAGCACGCUGGUUUGGAUUCAAUUCUGGAAAGUUUUUCGGGUUGGGAUGAGCUCGCGGCCUAUCAGCUUGUUGGUGGGGUAAUGGCCUACCAAGGCGUCGGCGGGUAGCCGGCCUGAGAGGGUGGACGGCGACAUUGGGACUGAGAUACGGACCAGACUCGUACGGGAGGCAGCAGUGGGGAAUAUUGCACAAUGGGAGCAAGCCUGAUGCAGAGACGCCGCGUGGGGAAUGACGGCCUUCGGGUUGUAAACACCUUUCGCUAGGGACGAAGCGCAAGUGACGGUACCUGGAGAAGAAGCACCGGCUAACUACGUG
rnacentral:rRNA from 1 species